AGAAGCACACGCAAGGCCUGCCUGAGUGCUUCCCUCAGUUAGACUUUUCACCCGAGAGUCUAGAUUUUCUCCUUGACAUUCCGGUUAUGUGUGUCCCAGCAUAGGGCAGCUGACUAGCACUACAAAGUGGUUCACAGAUGUGAGGGUUAAUCCUGGCUGUCAUCUUGAUUAGAUUUGGGAGCAUAGGGCCUUGUCUCCGAGUGGGUCUGUGAGGAUAGGAGCCUCCCCAGGGCAGUGCCUUCUAGCAGUAGCCCAGAUAUGGAUUCCAAGAGAAGAGUGGGACUGCUUCUGCCUGACUGUCUGCGCUCCUUGUUGCUAAGUGCAUCUACGCUGCUGCUGCUGCUACUGCCAUUCUUCACGGACAUCAGAACUAAGCUUCUCUGAUGUAUGCACAUUGAAGACCAGAGGCUCUCCAGGAAUCCUUCUGUCCUUCAGCACCAGCCUUGCAGAUUGUGAAGUUCCUUGGUUCUUAGUCUCUCCACUGUGCAGAUGGCCACUGUUGGACUCACUCUCCCUCUGACCACCUGCCUAGGCCCUGCUGUCUGACUCUGCUGGCGCUGCACUGACCCCAGGAUCUGCCGAGGCCCUGCUGUCUGACUCUGCUGGCGCUGCGCUGACUCCAAGUACUGCUGCCUUUGGAUUCUGGGUGCUCCCCCUGUCUGUCUCCAAUCCACAGGUAUCUCUGGCACUCAUGUGCUGCACCUGCUAGCUGCUAUUCAUUCUAGGAAACAGGAAGGCCACGUCCCCCACAGGAAGCAGCGGCCUGUGUGGUGUGCUGUAGGGCACUCACCCAGCUCCUCCAGGGAAGGCACGCCAUAGGUGUCGUCAUGGUUCUCCUGGAUCUCAGCUCUGCAGCUCUCCAUCUGCUGGCUGCUCACAGCCACCGCGGGCUUCUUGGGCAGCUCCAUGCGGCUGAUGAGGGCCUGAAAGCGCUUGUAGAUGCAGGUCUCUGGAGGCUGUGGGAGCUCACCGAGGCCCGACGGUUCACUGCCAUGCUCGGCAGCAGCCUACCAGCUACAACUCCUGGAAUCCCAUUCUCAGUACCUGCACUCCCACAGGACUUGAGAUGUUGCCCAAGCAUCUGAGCUGCCUCAGUCGUUUUCUGCUUCAUUCUCUCGAAAGUGCCGCUACAAAAGGGUGACCCACAAAAAUCAAAAAACCAUAAAACCAAGCAUACUGGAGUUCAAUCU
ensembl:processed_transcript D930015M05Rik RIKEN cDNA D930015M05 gene